AGAAACUGAUUUGGCUUUGAAACAUAAUGAGUUCAAUCACAGAGAAGAUGAAUCAAAAGUUGGUGCAGCUCUGUAACAAUUAUGACACGAAAAAGGACAGAACUUUGUGGAAUGUAUAAAAUCAUCACAAAAAAAGGAACACAUAUUAAGAAAAGUGCUUUUCAGCCACCAAGUUUCAUAUGGUCUCAUGACACCAGCCUGACCUCCCUGGGCAGACCAUCACACCAAUAUGUCCUGGAAAGCCACCUCUUCAGAGCCCUACUUCACAAGGGAAAGACAGAAACAGGCCAGGAGUAUGGAUCAACCCACUAAACAUCUAUGUUCAAUAGAGAAGCAAAUACAGAAGCCAGACCUUCACUUUCUGCACCCAGUAAGGAUCCAGGUCCAUACUCCCAGAGGAAUAAAGAAUAGGAAAUCUUCCAAUGCAGGCGUUUGGAUGCAGAACUCUGGUCGUGGGAAUUGUAGCCCUAUUAUGCAACGGACAUGGAGAUCAUAAAUAAAACAAAUUAAUAAAUACUUUGAUAGAAAAUAUCUAUCAUAAGGAAGGGA